rnacentral:lncRNA from 1 species
AAAAUAAAUAGGCACUCAAAAUAAGUACAUGUUCGAGAAUCAUUAAACAACUCCUUAUCAAUCUCGACUUCUUUCAAUAUGAACAACAAUUCAACCGAUUUAAUGGACUAGUAUAUAAAAAAUUUCUCGUGAUAGAAAAUAAAUAGGCACUCAAAAUAAGUACAUGUUCGAGAAUCAUUAAACAACUCCUUAUCAAUCUCGACUUCUUUC